rnacentral:rRNA from 1 species
UACGAAGGGGGCUAGCGUUGCUCGGAAUCACUGGGCGUAAAGCGCACGUAGGCGGAUCUUUAAGUCAGGGGUGAAAUCCCGGAGCUCAACUCCGGAACUGCCUUUGAUACUGGGGACCUUGAGUUCGAGAGAGGUGAGUGGAACUGCGAGUGUAGAGGUGAAAUUCGUAGAUAUUCGCAAGAACACCAGUGGCGAAGGCGGCUCACUGGCUCGAUACUGACGCUGAGGUGCGAAAGCGUGGGGAGCAAACAGG